AUCAGCAGGAUGAUCUGAAACCUCUGCUGGAUUUGAGUGUUUCACAGUAACACAGUAGAUGAUCAUGUUGUGUUGAAGGUUUAGUUGCUGUUCCCCUCUGUUACAUCAUCAGGACUCACACAUUUAUUCCAUCAUGACGUCAUGAUGCAAAUCCAGAGUGCUGUGUGUCCAUGCAGUAUUUAUGUGCAGCUGAGCUGAGUGGAGCAGUCGAGUCUCAUCAACACUCACCAUGAAGAUCCCACUCUCCUUAAUCCUGCUACUAAUCAGCCUCAUCAGUAUUCAGUGUCAAAGUCUUGAGUCUAUUCCCAUUGGUUCAGUGGUGAAAAAACCUGGAGAAACUCUGAGUCUCUCCUGUAAAGGAUCUGGGUUUAACUUUGGUGGCUAUGGAAUGAACUGGAUCAGACAACAAGCUGGAAAAGCACUAGAAUGGAUUGGGGCUAUCUGGAGUGAUGCCAGUAAAACUGUGUAUGCCAAACACAUCGAGGGACGUUUGGAAAUUACCAGAGACAACUCCAAAAACAUGGUGUAUCUGCAGCUGACUGGUUUGAGUGCACAGGACUCUGCUGUGUAUUACUGUGCAAAAUAACACAGUGGUACAAACAUGUUAAUCAGCUGUACAAAAUCUUCCCACAAUACAUGCCAUUUUCACAAGAUCUGCAGGUGGCACUACAGCAUAAUACAUUUAUUGUAACAUUGUAGGUUUCUUUAAAAGUGGUCAUAAGUACAACAUAUUUCAUCCACAGACACGUGUAGAUACGACACAAUUUCUAAGUCUUUAUGUGAGACAUUGAACAUUUGUCUCUUGUAGUCAAUUUCCCACAAGGGACCAAAGAGGAAAAUAAAUAAUAACAUUUACAGAAUCAUUGCUGACUUUUAAUCAGUGAUUGAAUACACGCAACAUCAAGACUAAUGAAAAUGAUUUAUUAUAAAUAAACUUAUUAUAAAGUGAAGCUGUCACUUUUCUGACACUGGAAAGUUCUCGGGAUGGAGGACUUCACUCUUUGCAGUUUCUUGGUAAAACUUUGCUUUUUUGUCUUAACUUCAAGUGAGAGGAAGAAAGAUGCUGGUGAGAGAAUAACUGUUUAUAGCUGCUAUAACCUAAGUGAUUCGGGAGCUAAAAUGUUUCAUAAAAGUUCCACAAUAUUAAAUGUGACACUGACUACAGUGAGAAACUGAAAAGCAGGUUUCAGGUUUCCAGAGACACGUCCAGCAGCACAGUAACAUUAACAGGGCAGAAGAUGCAGACUGAAGACACAGCUGUGUAUUACUGCGCU